GUGAGGACAAGGUAGAGUCAGUGCCCAGAGGAGCUGCCUACGAGAAACAUCAAGGAGGAAAUCAGAAGUGAUGUGACUUGUCCAGUAUACAGGAGCUGAAUCAGAAAUGGACAGGAAUAUCUAAAGGAUCUGUAUUUGGAAAAGGAGACUUUGAUCUUCUUGAUCUCUAAUACACUUUCCCCCUCAAAGCCUGGAAUUGUCCUGCCUUUGUAUUCCAUUGUUGAAGGAAGGCAGGGGAAGUGACAGUGCAAAUAGAGCACUGUGCUUUGCAGAUGAGCCCUGUGCCAGGGCAUGCCAUCAGCUGCAGGGCCCUCAGCUACUUAUUCUUCUGCUGUUUUACUUCAUACUAUUCCUUGACUGCACUGCUUUUCUUCAUGGAUUUGUGAGAGAAGUGGAUGGAAGGAUGAAUCUGGUUUAUCUUUGAAGUUUUCCAUCCAUCAAAGGCAUUGUGAAGAUACAGCAUUGCAAAAAUAUUUUUUCCUGCUGGUACUUUUUAGUCUUGCUUUGUAUUUCUUAAUGUGUUCUUGUAAAAAAUUGUUCUGGUAAUUUUUUCAUAUUUCCAAAUACAAUUUUCAAAUACAAUGUCUAUAGAAGCAGCACUCUAGGGUCUCUCUCUGUUACUUUGUCAGCCUAUGGAUUGGCAGCAAUGGCUUGAAUUUCAAAUUCACCUCCAAAUUGAGUAGUAAGUUCUUCUGAUUGGAGAACCAGUGUCUACAUUGGGAGUUAAUUGUCCUAGUCACUCUUUAUAGUCAAUGUAAUCAAUAUCCUGUCUUUUCAGAUGAAAGUAAAUCUGAAUAA